CACAGAAGCAGGGGAAUGGGGGAUG
rnacentral:piRNA from 1 species